CCAAUGCUAAAAGAAGACUAAUGAUGGAAAAAGUUAAGACAAUAUGGACAAAGGUUCAGAGAGAGCUGAUGGGAGUGACAUCAAAUAUACAGCAGAGAAGACAGUCUAUGGAAUCAGAAAAAUCAAAGUGGAUUGCAAUUCACAAGGAGUUAUUGGUAACUGUAGAUGCAAAGACAAACAAAUUUCAAGGGAGGAAAUUAAAACAUUUGAAAGAAUCCGUUAACAAAAAU